rnacentral:rRNA from 1 species
AGUGAACGCUGGCGGUAGGCCUAACACAUGCAAGUCGAACGGCAGCACGGUAAGAGCUUGCUCUUACUGGUGGCGAGGGGCGGACGGGUGAGGAAUACAUCGGAAUCUACUUUUUCGUGGGGGAUAACGUAGAGAAACUUACGCUAAUACCGCAUACGACCUACGGGUGAAAGCAGGGGAUCUUCGGACCUUGCGCGAUUGAAUGAGCCGAUGUCGGAUUAGCUAGUUGGCGGGGUAAAGGCCCACCAAGGCGACGAUCCGUAGCUGGUCUGAGAGGAUGAUCAGCCACACUGGAACUGAGACACGGUCCAGACUCCUACGGGAGGCAGCAGUGGGGAAUAUUGGACAAUGGGCGCAAGCCUGAUCCAGCAAUACCGCGUGAGUGAAGAAGGCCUUCGGGUUGUAAAGCCCUUUUGUUGGGAAAGAAAAGCAGCAGGUUAAUACCCCGCUGUUCUGACGGUACCCAAAGAAUAAGCACCGGCUAACUUCGUG